UGCAGGAGACGCACUGCAGGGGGCGCUGCAGACACACUAAGACCUAGGAGAGGAAGGCAAUUCCCGGCCAGGUCCCAGAGACACGCAAAGGACUCUCUGUCUCGCGUCUGACGGGGAAAGAAGAGCGGAGAGGACACAUCCCUCCUAAUGAAAGGGGCGGGGGGGGCAGGCGGCGGUACUUUUAGCACCUGCGCAGUGGGCGCAGAGCUGGAGAUCAGUGUUGAACUUGGGCUUGGCCCCGCGGGACCCGCGCGAGUCAGAACUCGGCGGAGCCAGGGGGACACAGGCGUUCUCGGGAAGCCAAGCCAGGGCUCCAGGACCCGCGGGGGUUGGCGCGGCCCUGGAUCCCGCGAGAAGACUCAGGCGGUAAUCCGCCGAGCCCCGCAGGCAGCUGGCAUCGGAGCAGCAGGCCUUUAGCCGGUGUCCGCGUGGCCCAGCGCCCGGAGGGGUCGGGUCCACUCCGACUUUCUACGGCCCAGCUCACGCUCGCCUCCGAAAAACCUUUGCGGCCUAACCUGAGUCCGGCUCUGGAGAGGGCCCAGCCUGGCUCUGGUUCCGGAGCUGGCGGCGCUGGAUUUGGGUCGGCCUUGCCUCGGGUCCUCCCCCGCUUCCCCCCACACCUGCACUUUCCAAACUGGGAGGGAACGCGGAGGCCUCUGGCAGCUGAACGCCCACCUGCCGGGUUUCGGGAGGAUCGAGGUCAGGGCGCCCCACGCUCCCACCACCUUACAUCACGACCAGGAGAGCCGGGGCUGGGGGCGCGUGGGUGCAAGAGAGCAGGGCUAGGGCUGGUGGGCUUCCCUAAAGGACCACAGUAAGUCUAAGACGCGGGGGUCGCUGCCCACCCACUUGGCAGAUAGGGAGACUGAGGCUCCCGGCGAAAGCGAGGGCGUCCGAGGGCGUGCGUCUCCCGAGGCGGCGCCUGCCUUUGCCACCGGAAGCUCCCGGGCCGAGGGCGCUGGGGAAGCUGCUCCUACGCCCGGAUGCGUCACUCCGCCCACUUACUUAUCCACGCAGGUGACACCCUUUAACCACGUCCCCGCGCCACCCGCCCCAGGAUGCUGGCGGGACUUCAGGAGAGGGCAAAAAAGGACAGGCCCAAGGCCAUGUCCCUAACGCCCACCAGCCCCAACCUCCUCUCCAGGUAGCAGAUACCCCUCCACUCCCAGGACUGUCGCUACCAGUUCCCAGUGUCCGCCGCAGAACGCUGCUCCCAGUAAAGACUCAGAGACCCGUCGCGACAAGAUGCGGGCGCAGUUUUGGAAAUGCUGGUGGCGAAGGGAACACACUGGUCCUUUCUCUCUGAGGGCUUCCAAACAGUGAGGAAGAAUGUGGCACUUCUAUUUAUGCCAGCCGUCGACAAGUAUCCAGAGAACCUAAGUUAAGGGAUACGGAGGCUCCUUUGGAGACAUCCUCUGUCAAAUGAGGGAAACUAGGCUUUUCCUGUUCGUCGUUUCCAUCUUUUUCGUAUUGUGCCAUGGGAGCAUAUAUUUCUAUUGAAACUAAUUUUUCAAAGAAAAAAAAUAUUCCAAGAUAACAAAUCAGGUGAUGGAAGUCAACAAUACAUAAAACAUGAUACAAUGUAUGGUUAAAGAUGUAGCAAAAGUUUAUUUCUGUGAUCUUAAACCAAAAGACACCCAAAUGGUUAUGAAGUUAUCUGCUAGAGGGAUGCCACACUGGGGGCAGGCCAUCAUCAAUGGGAUUCUGUCACUGUGGUUUUUAUUUUUACAAUAAAAGAGGGGAUAUAUUUUAUA